rnacentral:rRNA from 1 species
GUAACGGCGAGUGAAGCGGCAACAGCUCAAAUUUGAAAUCUGGCGUCUUUGGCGUCCGAGUUGUAAUUUGCAGAGGGCGCUUUGGCAUUGGCAGCGGUCCAAGUUCCUUGGAACAGGACGUCACAGAGGGUGAGAAUCCCGUACGUGGUCGCUAGCCUUUACCGUGUAAAGCCCCUUCGACGAGUCGAGUUGUUUGGGAAUGCAGCUCUAAAUGGGAGGUAAAUUUCUUCUAAAGCUAAAUACUGGCCAGAGACCGAUAGCGCACAAGUAGAGUGAUCGAAAGAUGAAAAGCACUUUGGAAAGAGAGUUAAAAAGCACGUGAAAUUGUUGAAAGGGAAGCGCUUGCAGCCAGACUUGCCUGUAGUUGCUCAUCCGGGUUUCUACCCGGUGCACUCUUCUAUAGGCAGGCCAGCAUCAGUUUGGGCGGUUGGAUAAAGGUCUCUGUCAUGUACCUCCUUUCGGGGAGAACUUAUAGGGGAGACGACAUGCAACCAGCCUGGACUGAGGUCCGCGCAUCUGCUAGGAUGCUGGCGUAAUGGCUGUAAGCGGCCCGUCUUGAAACACGGACCAAGGAGUCUAACAUCUAUGCGAGUGUUUGGGUGUCAAGCCCGAGCGCGUAAUGAAAGUGAACGGAGGUGGGAACCUUUCGGGGUGCACCAUCGACCGAUCCUGAUGUCUUCGGAUGGAUUUGAGUAAGAGCAUAGCUGUUGGGACCCGAAAGAUGGUGAACUAUGCUUGAAUAGGGUGAAGCCAGAGGAAACUCUGGUGGAGGCUCGCAGCGGUUCUGA